UUAAUUGAAACCAAAAAGAGGUAUAUCACUGUUAAUGAUACCAAUGAGAAAUUCUCCAAUUAAG
rnacentral:tRNA from 1 species